rnacentral:rRNA from 1 species
UACGUAGGGGGCAAGCGUUGUCCGGAAUCAUUGGGCGUAAAGAGCGUGUAGGCGGCUCGGUAAGUCCGCUGUGAAAGUCCAGGGCUCAACCCUGGAAUGCCGGUGGAAACUGUCGAGCUAGAAUCCGGAAGAGGCGAGUGGAAUUCCUGGUGUAGCGGUGAAAUGCGCAGAUAUCAGGAGGAACACCAAUGGCGAAGGCAGCUCGCUGGGACGGUAAUUGACGCUGAGACGCGAAAGCGUGGGGAGCAAACAGG